rnacentral:rRNA from 1 species
UACGGGGGGGGCAAGCGUUGUUCGGAAUUACUGGGCGUAAAGGGCCAGUAGGCGGCCAACUAAGUCGGAUGUGAAAUCCCCAGGCUCAACUUGGGAACUGCAUCCGAUACUGGAUGGCUUGAAUUCGGGAGAGGGAUGCAGAAUUCCAGGUGUAGCGGUGAAAUGCGUAGAUAUCUGGAGGAACACCGGUGGCGAAGGCGGCAUCCUGGACCGGUAUUGACGCUGAGGCGCGAAAGCUAGGGGAGCAAACGGG